ensembl:lncRNA
AUGGCAGCUCGUAAGGUGGCAACGCUUCAUCCAACGGUUUGUAGGGAAGGUACAUUGAAAACUCCAAUUUCUGAAGGUCCGAACUACAAAUGCCAGAUCUGCAGCAAAACAGGAGCGUAUGCAUAUGUUGUGGCACAUAUGCAAACCCAUGAGAAGACAGCUGUUAAACAUGGAGGAUAUAAAAUGUACAGAUGCCAUGGUGUAUGUUGCAGAAGCCAUCAUUAUCACUGCUGCUAUUGUGCGAGAAUUAUAACUCGGCAAAAUUUAUUUUUGAACCAUGUGCAGAAAUGUGGGUUAGCUGAAGCGUCAGCAGGUCCCUGUGUCUCUGCACCAUCCAGUGUCUGUGAACCAUCCAGCGUCUGUGAACCAUCCAGUGUCUGUGAACCAUCCAGCGUCUGUGCCCCAUCCAGCGUCUGUGAACCAUCCAGCGUCUGUGAACCAUCCAGCGUCUNCUGGGGAAGCAACCAUCAAGUGAGCUGUGAGCUACAGCAAUGCAAACAGGCUUCUGAAUUUUCCAGAAGAAGUGGCUUAAUGGGGUUUCAGUGCAUCCAUUUGAAGUCAUUAUCAUACUGCCCUAUUUCAUCCGAACCAGACAUCAUCCUUAAGGAAGAAGUUCUGUCAGAUAUGGUAAGGAAAAAGUGGAUUUCUGACAAAACAAAGAAAAAGUGUCUUUCAAGGUAG